CUAGCUGUAAACGUUGGAUACUGGGUAUGGGGGGUUUAAAUACCUUCUGUGCCGAAGCAAACGCGUUAAGUAUCCCGCCUGGGGACUACGGCCGCAAGGUUAAAACUCAAAGGAAUUGACGGGGACCCGCACAAGCAGCGGAGCGUGUGGUUUAAUUCGAUGCGACACGAAGAACCUUACCUGGGCUUGACAUGUAGGUAGUAGGGAAGCGAAAGCGGACCGACCCUUCGGGGAGCCUACACAGGUGC
rnacentral:rRNA from 1 species